rnacentral:misc_RNA from 1 species
GUAGGUGAACCUGCGGAAGGAUCAUUAAUAGAGCAAUGAGCAGUCAGCGCCCCGGGAGCAAUCCUGGGGGCCACCCUCCUCGGAGGGUUUAGAGACGUCAGGCCACUCGGAGAAGCCUGGUUCAGACCUCCACCCUUGAAUAAAUUACCUUUGUUGCUUUGGCAGGCCGCCUAGCGCCAGCGGCUUCGGCUGCUGAGUGCCUGCCAGAGGACCACAACUCUUUUGUAACUGAUGUCUGAGUACUAUAUAAUAGUUAAAACUUUCAACAACGGAUCUCUUGGUUCUG